rnacentral:lncRNA from 1 species
UUAAGAGGUACCUUGACAUUACGCAUCCAGAAAACGAAAAAGUACAACAAGUUCAAAUUAAAAAGAGGAAGGAGAAGGAUUUGCAGUGGUCAAAAAGAAUUGGAAUAUGUCAGCUGUUCCUAAGUAUUUUCUAAUGGACAUAACCUUCUUACUUGAAGAACAGUCAACACCGCGCUCAAAAGUGAAAGGACAACCGCGGGCGGAAUCAUGGAGACCGAUUUUAUCAAUAGGGUUAAGAUUUUUAAGUCUCUUUUCGCCCACUUUAACCUCAAAUUUGUCUUGUUUCCGCCCACUAUUCCAUCAAAUUUCAUCAGUUAAAUUUUGUGUGUACAGUUUCGUAAUGAUUAUCGAGACUAAAUUUCAGUCGUGUUCAAGUUUUCUGUCUUUUCGUAGGGAGAAAUGAUGGGAAACUACCUAUCCGCCGCCUCCAGCAUUGCUAACCUGAUUCUGCGUACGAUGAGCAAAUCGCAGCCCAGCCGAGCGCGGUUAGAGGGCGAAGAUGAGAUUCUCUAAAUCCGGAUCACCGAAGGACGGUCAGAGCAAAAAUCAACCCAAAGAGACAUUCUGGCAAAAGCGAGUAAGUCAAGUGGAGAGCGUUUCAAAACUGCUACUGACCAAGAAUAAAAGCAAACAAAACACCAUUAAAGAAACGAAAGACAAGAAAAAACAACAGCAGACCGCCGGCGAACAAUUAGAGUGUCUGAAAAAAGCAUUGGAGAGUCUAACGCAGAAAGAAGCCGAACUUUCAAAACGUCAACCGAAAGACUCACCUUUUGACUCCGCACCCCCAAAAGAAGUCGAAAAUCUCCUGAAAAAUGUCAGAUCUGACGACAUCCUCUGCUACUCCGACGGAAAGAACAGUCUGAUAUACUGUCCCUCCGAAAAGGGCAUUAACUUCGACUUCGAUGCCUCGGACGACAAGAGGGGUCGAUCCGCCUCUAAAUCGACGGUAAAGAGGAGUGCCUCACCAGAGCCGCGCGAGAAUAUACGAGGAGGAGAGGAGCCAUACCACCGAGAGGACUGCGAUGUUAAGAACACGCGAGGCGGGUCGUCCAAUCAUCGGAUGAGCGUUGAGAGAAGACAUUCGGAUCGGUGCAAGAGGGAUGAGAAACGGGAACCAAGGGAGUGCUGCAGGAAAGACGUCAAGAAAUCAAGCGAGAAAAAGCCAAAAUGGAGCGAGGCGUGCAAACAAAUCUGUAAGAAGAAAGCGCCACAAGAAUGCCUAAAGACAGGGCACCUGAGCGCGGGCAGAGGCCGGACGCGGUCGGACGACGAAGACAGCCUAAAGGAACGGUGCAAGAGGAGACACUCCGACGCGGAGGAGCGAGGAAAGAAAGGAGGGCGUAAAGAGGAAAAGGACACGAGAUCCCGUGGAAGUCAAGCGAGUCUAAAGAGGUCAUCAGGGCGGCAUGGCUCUCGAGAUAGGGAGCGACAUCGGGAGCGCAACUGCCGGACGGAACCGAAGCGGAGCUGCUCGCGGUCGCGCAAGGAGGACUCGGACCGCGAGCGGAGGCGGAGCAGCCACAGGAGCGGGACCCGCGAGAAGACCGAGGCGGGCAGGUCGGUGUCGCGGGAGCCGGAGACGCCGCCGAAACGGAGGUCGAGCCUCAAGCGGACCUCCCCGGGCGCCCGGAGGUCCGGCUCCAGCGGGUACCUCCGGGACAGUUACGGCAACGAACCGUCGCCAUCACUAGGGUAUCCAGCGCAGUGUCCACCAUGCCCGAACUCCACGUACCCCAUGCAGAAUGGCACGAUGCCCGCUUGGAAUUCGACGCUCCCGCCGCAUUCACCGGUUGCUUAUCCCGACGGCUCUUUCGGGGGUCAGUACGAACCCGAGUUCGACGCCAGUUCCAUCCGCUACCCGCAGGGCCCUGCGAUGAGUACACCGAUCCCGCGGAGGAAUGCAAGAGUCGGUGGGCAUAUGGAUUGUCCCGCGGGUGGGUACAUGGAGACCCUGCCGGAGCACACCAUGGGGUCGGGUUACUCCCAACGCCCGUCUAUGGCCCAUCAUUCCAUGACACCUCUUCCGAUUUUGCGGGGCUCCAGGGGACCGCCUGGCGGUCCUGCGAUGAACGCUUCGGCUCCAGCUAUGUACGGACGUUCCACAUCUUCGAUUCCCGGUCGACCUGUCAGCGUCUCUUUCCCGCCGCAAUCGCCCUUCCAUGGACAACAGUUCCCGAGCCAAGAUCGUCUGGUUUCCACGCCGUCCGGUGCUAUUGUUUGUUGCAAUAGGUGUUGCAGGCCCGCUCCGUGCUGUUGCCCCGCCCAGUUUCCGUGCGCAGCGUGCGCCGACCCCGAGUACUACGAGUGCGGCGAGCACAUCCACGAGACCCCGUCGCCCAUGUGCAACUACCAUCGCUACCUGUGCGACAGGCAGAAGUCGGCCAUCGCCGAGAGCACUGCCGAGCUGGACAACACCUAUCUCCGCGACUGCAUGCCCAUGUCCGCGCCUCGUUUCGACAAGGCCAGGUUGUUCGCCGACCCCAAAGGCCGCCGUCUCCAACCCAGCCUCAGUUGUCACGGUCUCAGCCCCUCUCAACUCCAGCACCCUGUCGACCCGCAAAUGAUGAGCCUCCUCUAUAGAAGAGGGCGCGAGGAGUACUUGCGGGAGCGAAGCAAGCUGUCACCGGAGGAGAAAUUCGCGUUCCCUGUCCUCUCCUCGCAUUCCUACGGCUGGCGGAUCCUCUGCGCCUACUACCCGCGGAAGACCUACGCCCGGAAGACCAAGGAUUUCCGGGCCGGGGACGCUGGUCCCAUGCCGUACACGUGACCAGAAUGGAAGUCAUCGGAAAACUUUGGCGCUGGUGGCGUCAGUGCUUUUCAAUCAAUCCUCGGACACUUCAGUGGCGAUUCGCGCAAUUUGGUAAAACCGGAUCGUAGCUGAUUGGAUAGUUUAGACCCUUGCCAUAAUUGGAUCGAACUAAGAAUCACCAUGAAGUAUCUCGGAGUGGAGUCGGAAGUACCAUGAGUGCUAUGUAAAAUCCACUCUUUAUGGAGUGAGCUUCGCUCUUUCGGAGCAGAUCUCACUCCAUAUUCAAAUCUCUAAGGUCCUCUACGAGAAGCGGGACAGGCUCCGGAAUGCACUCUGGACUUAGUUCCGAAGUUUCUAUCACUGCAGUCGCAAGUGCAACAACUUAGGACUCCUAACACGUGUCAAAUGGGGGCGCAUUUGAAAUCGGACGGCGAAAAAGAAAAAGAAAAAAGGGGGAAAAGAAUAAAAAGAGAGAAGUAGAAGGAGUGGAGAAGAUGGGAGAAGAGGAAAGGAAGCUGAAAAGGUUGAAGAAGAAGAAGAAGAAGUAGAGUAAAAGAGGAAGACAAACAAGAAACAAGAAAAAGACAACUGUAACAGAUUAUCUUUGUUCAUCCUUUCCUCUUUAUGGUAUCUCCUCCUCUUCUCCGUCUGCCUCUUUUUGGUCUUCCUCUUCUUUGUCUGGUUCUUCUUCUCCUUCGAUUUUUCUCGUUUUCUUAUUUUUCAACUUCUUCUCCCUGUCAUUCUUCUUUUUCCUCAUUCUGUCUCUAAUGUUUCCUCAUCUAGCAUAUGCUAGGAUUCCUACGAUCUAGGUCUGCCAGACUUUGAAUGGUUAAAUGCUUGGAAAAGAAUUGAUUUUAAUUGAGGAUGGUUACCUCUCCUCGAGUCAAUCAUUUUUAAUUGAUUUUAAAGGAGAGAAAUCAAUACUUACAUCUUGCCAGAAUCACCGCUGGAAGACAUGAACCGUCGGGAUUUACACUUGGAAUAAACUAUCUUACUACGAAAGACGAUGUGUGUGAGACACCGGAGAUCUUGAAUUUAUUAGAGCUUACACAUCAAAGCAGAGAAAGGACCCAUUUGACAUCUAUUCGUGAAACUCUAUGAAAGCCAAAACCCAUUUUUGGCUUUGGCUGCCCAUGAGCAAAAUAUUAAUGGCUAAUUUUGGAGAGGGGUACUCUUAUUGCUAACAUAGUUAAUUAUCUCCUUAUGCAUACUUAUAUUCAAUGUAUGCAGAAUUACAUAAGAUUUAUUACAACCACUUUUAUUUUGUCGAAUAGCUUUCCUCAUCUAAUUUUAAUAGGUGGAUUAUCUUAAUUUUUCUAAUUGUUUCGUUGAAAUAAAUCUCCGGUUCAUAGGACCGCGCUCUCAGUUCAACAAACUGAAUUUCAGUUCUGCCAACCAACGAGAUCGCGAAAAGUUUGAAUGGUCGAUGGCGCAGUCCCCUGAGCCAGAAGUGCUCCGAUAGAAUUUAUCGGCUCGUAUGAGUGAAGUUUGUCAUCGUGCGAAAUGCCGUGAAAUAGGAAUCUCUAGACAAGGUAUAAAGUAAACCACUCCGCAACAAGUCUUCUUUUCAAAAUUUCUAGUGGUAAACGAAUCGCACAACAGGAAGUUUGAAAAUCAACUCCUAAAAAAAUAUAAGUGUUUAAAUUUAUAUCGGUUAAAUAACAAAUCUAUAUUUGACGUCAUUUGUGUAAUUUAACUUCCAUUUUGUGUAUGCUAAAAGUACUUGUUAAUAUCUGGUUCAGAGUUGAUUUCUGAACUUUCCUUUGUCCGGAUUGUUGUCUACGUAAGAUUUUGAAGGGGAAACAUGCGACGCAUAGUGAAUCGAGUCAAUUAGAGAGGUCGGACAUGAAAUUUCAUAUUAAAACUGCAAAUUUUGAUGUUUAUUUCGUCACGUUUUAAAUUUUAAGUGGUGCUUUCAGAAGAAAAUUUUACGAGGAAGCCCAUUUUUAGAACUCAAAAUUUUACAUAAACGGAGUUACUAGCUUUUAAAGUUUCCAAAUUUUGUCCGACCCCUCAUAUUGACUCGAUCCUCUGUGCGACGCACGGUGGAGCGAAGCAUAGGAAUGCCCGGUCAUCGCCUUGCUCCCCAACUUGUUUCGACUAUUCCACUCGUUCCAAUGGGCAUUUCGUGAAGAAACUUGGGCAUCUAGUGGUAUUUUGGUCGUAGAAUUCAUUUUUGACCUUACUUUACUCGAUUUAUUGACGGAAAUACAUAAUUUUGGAGGUUCUUUCUGACUUUCAGUACAAACGUGAAAAGAUAAGUUACUCAAAGAUAAAUUUUACCCGUCCCUGUGGGCAUUUCGUGUUGAAGCUUCGUAGGUUUGUGGUAUUUUGAUCGUAGAAUUCAUUUCUGACCUUACUUUUCUUGAUAUGAUAACGCAAACGCACGAUUUUUCGGGUUUUCAAACUUUCGGCGGAAAUAUAAAAAGAUAAGUUGCUCAAAGAUAAAUUUUACUCAUUCUUGUCGGAAUUUCGUGUUGAAAUGUGGUGCAAUCAUGGUACUUUGAACGUAGAAUUCAUUUUUGACAAUAGAAUUGUUUGUAUGUUAACGUAAUUACACUACUUUGGUUUUUUUUUAAAAACCUCUGGUAGAAAUGUGAGAAGAAAAGUUACUCGAAGAUAGAAUUAACUCGUUCUGGUAAAAAAUACGUGUUGAAUCGUUGAUGCACAAUCAUACUUUCAUCUUAGAACCAAUUUUUGAGCUUAAUUUUGUUAUUUGAUUCACAUGCAUACGUGCUUUUGAAGAAUUUUAUUCAAAAAUCGAUCGGAAUGCACAAAGAAAAUUUAUGCAGAGAUUUUAUCUGUUCCGAUAGAAAUUUCAUGUUGCAACUAUUGAUUUCCUGUGAUAUUUUCAUUGAGGAAUAAAAGUUCAAUGUGACUCAUAUUUCAAUUCCUCGAUCGAAAGACAAAAGGAAGCAAUUUUUAUCGAUAUUAUGUGAUCUCUCAAUGUAAUGAAUGCUCAUAUGUCUAUAAUAUCGAUUUUGAAAAAAAUAUGGUAUUACCGUUACUGUUACCUUCUGCACUGAAAAAAAGAGGUAGGGGUUAAGUCCCAACUGUUGGAUGAUAUGGACAUUUCCAAUUAAUUGUGGUAAUACCCCAAUAAAUUGUGGUUUUCCCCGAUUAAUUUUGGUGGUACCCCAAUAAAUUAGGUUACUAAUCCAAAUGAUGCAGUGCUACCCCAACUUGAGUUGCGAUACUACCAAAAUUAAUUAGAAAUUUCCAUAUCAUCCAACAAAUUGGGGUAGUACCGCAAUUUUAGGGGAUAACCCCCCACACUUUUUUUUUCCGUGUGAGACCAAUGAAAAAUUCCAGUUUUAUGUGAUUCCAAGAGACAAUUUCGAACCUAUGAUUUAAAAUAUUUAUAGAAAGAUAUCGAUGUCCAAGGGGGUUUUUUUUUUGUUUGUUUGAAUGCUUUCAUCAAGAUCGACACUGCUAUCUUCAUGAAGAUCUGAAAUCAAAAGCUCGCAGUGGAUGGCCUAAGGAUCGAGAACUUUUGAUUUCUUCUUAUUUGAGAAAUUAUAUCUAAACAAACAGAAAACACGGAACACGGAACAACACGAAACACGGAAAAUUAAAGAUCAACACUGUCAACGAGAUUAAAUUGCACGGUAAAUCGGUCCAUCUCAUAUCACGAAUCACGAUAUCUUAGAAUCAGUUGGGACACUUCCAACGCUUUGUAAAGGAUUUUAUCUAUACCACGACUGAAGCGCCAAGCGCUUCGGGAGGUUGGGCUGCGAAGUGGUCUGGGCGUGCAACCCCUACUAUGAUGAAUAAUUCAUUCAAAGGUAUUGAUCGAACAUUCAACAUUUUUAUUUUCUCCUUAAAAUGCCAACAAUCAUAUAAGAUAAAAGCAAAAACAGCUCUGUUUCCCCGCCUCGAUCGCGAGUUUGCGAACCUAUGAAAUGAAGAAUUUUGGCAAAAAAAUGGGCCAAAGUAAGGUCAAAAUUGGAUUCUACGAUGAAAAUACUGUUAGUACAUCAAGUUUUAAAAUGAAAAUCCGACUGAGUGUAUUGAGACGCCAAGAUAAUCAAGCAAUAUGUAGAAAAACAGCGAAUUCCGUCCUCACUUUUUCGGACAAAAAUCGAUGUAACUCUCAAAGCGGCAGCUGGCGGCAGCCAAAUACGACGGAUUCCUCAUCCUGGGGGAUCACUGGAACACGCCUUAUGCAUGAUUGGACGGCGAAAUGCGGCGAACUUUUUAAAAGUCUAUUCAAACUUUUAUUUUCUUAUUUUCGGAAGGGUCAUCUUUGAUCAGACAUUACAACGUAUAGAAUUGAGUAAAUUUAACUUUUUAAUAGUGAAAUAUGUUCUUCAUACACUCUAGAAUAAGAUCCAAGCAUUCAUAUUUGUGUCAAUUAUUGCCACUUGAAGAGGCAGGUAUGGAAACCGACCUCAGAAAACAGAGCGAAAUUGGCCGUUACAGAAAAUGUCAACUUCAGGAGUCCAGGGAGCAAAAGCAUUUGAAAAAAUCAUUAAACCAACACUAGAUUCAUAUAAUAUGGAUCCUUAGGAACACAUUCCAUCACAUCUUUAUGCAAAACAUGAGAACACCCCAUGUCCGAAGUUUUACCCAUUUCGUCCCACUGUGCGACGCUCCUUUCAAGUACAACUUUGUUUAAUGGCCCAUUGU